AAAUUGAAGAGUUUGAUCAUGGCUCAGAUUGAACGCUGGCGGCAGGCCUAACACAUGCAAGUCGAACGGUAACAGGAAGCAGCUUGCUGCUUUGCUGACGAGUGGCGGACGGGUGAGUAAUGUCUGGGAAACUGCCUGAUGGAGGGGGAUAACUACUGGAAACGGUGGCUAAUACCGCAUAACG
rnacentral:rRNA from 9 species